UACGGAGGGUGCAAGCGUUAUCCGGAUUCACUGGGUUUAAAGGGUGCGUAGGUGGAUUGGUAAGUCAGUGGUGAAAUCUCUGGGCUUAACUCAGAAACUGCCAUUGAUACUAUCAGUCUUGAAUACCGUGGAGGUCAGCGGAAUAUGUCAUGUAGCGGUGAAAUGCUCAGAUAUGACAUAGAACACCAAUUGCGAAGGCAGCUGGCUACACGAAUAUUGACACUGAGGCACGAAAGCGUGGGGAUCAAACAGG
rnacentral:rRNA from 1 species